UACAGAGGGGGCAAGCGUUGUUCGGAAUUACUGGGCGUAAAGGGCGCGUAGGCGGCCUGCUAAGUCGAACGUGAAAUCCCUGGGCUCAACCCAGGAACUGCGUCCGAUACUGGUUGGCUUGAAUCCGGGAGAGGGAUGCGGAAUUCCAGGUGUAGCGGUGAAAUGCGUAGAUAUCAGGAAGAACACCAAUGGCGAAGGCAGCUCUCUGGGACGGUACUGACGCUGAGACGCGAAAGCGUGGGGAGCGAACAGG
rnacentral:rRNA from 1 species